UCUGCUCCCUGGAGCGUGUCCUGCCCUGGGGCUCGGUUUUUACUUGGGAACUUUUCAAACCGACGCAGGAGGACAGAGAGCAAGUGCACGCCCCACCGGCCACACACGCUGUCCUCACCCCACGCUGGGGGAGCCACGGGAGCCGUCGGGAGGAUUUGCUGCAGUUUCUCUAACUGUUUCACCGUCUCUGGACACGACGGGUCAUUUCCAAUCUCCCCACCCGCCUCCUCUGCGCAAAUCUCUGACCUCAUUUCUGUCUUCCCGUCUGAGAUGAACUUCCGGGAGGGAAUUGCCGAGGUACCAGGUCGGAACAGGGACCCUGUUUCACCCCACCCUUCCAACACCGGGGAAUCAACGUCUUUAUUUGUCCCCACUUGAUGGAUUAAAAAACAUUUUAAAAGCGCA